rnacentral:rRNA from 1 species
AGGAAUAUUGGUCAAUGGGCGUAAGCCUGAACCAGCCAAGUCGCGUGAGGGAUGAAGGUUCUAUGGAUCGUAAACCUCUUUUAUAAGGGAAUAAAGUGCGGGACGUGUCCCGUUUUGUAUGUACCUUAUGAAUAAGGAUCGGCUAACUCCGUGCCAGCAGCCGCGGUAAUACGGAGGAUCCGAGCGUUAUCCGGAUUUAUUGGGUUUAAAGGGUGCGUAGGCGGCCUUUUAAGUCAGCGGUGAAAGUCUGUGGCUCAACCAUAGAAUUGCCGUUGAAACUGGGGGGCUUGAGUAUGUUUGAGGCAGGCGGAAUGCGUGGUGUAGCGGUGAAAUGCAUAGAUAUCACGCAGAACCCCGAUUGCGAAGGCAGCCUGCCAAGCCAUUACUGACGCUGAUGCACGAAAGCGUGGGGAUCAAACAGGAUUAGAUACCCUGGUAGUCCACGCAGUAAACGAUGAUCACUAGCUGUUUGCGAUACACUGUAAGCGGCACAGCGAAAGCGUUAAGUGAUCCACCUGGGGAGUACGCCGGCAACGGUGAAACUCAAAGGAAUUGACGGGGGCCCGCACAAGCGGAGGAACAUGUGGUUUAAUUCGAUGAUACGCGAGGAACCUUACCCGGGUUUGAACGCAUUUCGACAGCUCUGGAAACAGAGUCUCUAGCGAUAGCGAUUUGCGAGGUGCUGCAUGGUUGUCGUCAGCUCGUGCCGUGAGGUGUCGGCUUAAGUGCCAUAACGAGCGCAACCCUUGCCACUAGUUACUAACAGGUAAAGCUGAGGACUCUGGUGGGACUGCCAGCGUAAGCUGCGAGGAAGGCGGGGAUGACGUCAAAUCAGCACGGCCCUUACAUCCGGGGCGACACACGUGUUACAAUGGCGUGGACAAAGGGAGGCCACCUGGCGACAGGGAGCGAAUCCCCAAACCACGUCUCAGUUCGGAUCGGAGUCUGCAACCCGACUCCGUGAAGCUGGAUUCGCUAGUAAUCGCGGAUCAGAAUGCCGCGGUGAAUACGUUCCCG